rnacentral:lncRNA from 1 species
UUCUACUUCCACACCCUCUUUGAUUUUGAUAUUUCCUUUCUACCUCCAUUUCCUUAAUUCUUUCCUACAUCUAGAUUUUCAAGUAACUCCAGCUUCUUUCCAUGCUUCCUUCUUCUUUUAGUUUCUCUAAAAAUAACCAAUCUCUCUGCUUCAUCCUCCACCCUUGAGGUUUCUGUUCACUUUGUAAACAAUUCCUCUCCUUCAAGUUCUUCAAACACCACAGCCCUUACUAGCUCCUCUACUACCCUAAUACGAGUUCUUGCCCCUAUCAUCCCAUUAAGGUAAAUUCCUAGCAAUGGGGAGACUCUACUGAUUCACGAUAUCCCUUUCGUGAUAAUGAAAAGGCACUUGACCAAGUUAAACGCCAUAUAUUAAAUUUCUAGCAGACACUUUGAGGUCUUUGCCUCCCCAUUUAGACAUUCGUGCAGAUGGUCAUAUUCUAAAGAAUGAAGGCAGGACUGAUAUUUCCUAUUGAUCAAUUUUAUCUGGAUGUCCUAGCCUUCCAUAAAAUUUCAGUCGCGUAACUUCAUCCCAAUUCUUGGUGCUUCUUGGUGGAUUUUAUGUUUCUCUACUCUCACAAUGGAAUUGAGGCGAAUGUGGCCAUAUUCGCUCAACUCUACCAAUUAAGAACAAGACAGAAUAAGGAGUACUGAUUCUUCAAUGGUAGGAAGAGGCAAAUAUUAUUUGACCUUCUCCUCUCCUCUAUCAACGAUGGAAGAAGAAAUCAUUUUGGUUGAGGAAUCGGGUCUCCGGUAGGUUUAAUGGCCUACAGAACGAGUGAAACUUCUAUUCUCGCUUAAGAAAGAAGGCAAGAAAGCAAAUUGAGAAAGAAAUCGAAUUAGUAGACUACUAUAAAGAGAUUACUGUCCCAAGAAAGAUUGAUAUGCCGGUAGCUGUCUGGAACGUUGUCCUCGCCUAGCAGGGUCCACAAUAAUUCGAGUAGGUGAAGGACCUUAGAACGAGUAUCCGAGCUACAAUACUUACUUUUUCUUUUGUGCAGCCAUAAAAAAUAGUGGGCAGAGGCUGUUAGUACUGCCAAAAGAGGGGGUAAGGCAUCUGCUACCGAGAGUGUGAUGCCUCUAGCUAAACACAUGUGCCACACAGUACUAACUAGGCAAACCAAACCACCACUAAUGCUCCCGCCGCCAACCAAAGUCGUCCUCCUCCACUCCCUUACCUCUUUAUGAUCUCACUUCCAUGUAGGAUGAGUAGAGACGAGUAUGUUCUAAAAUUAAUUUAAAUUUUAAAAAAUUUUAUGGUUUGAUAUUUAAAUUUAAUAUUAAAUCUGAUUAUUAUGAUUUUAUUAUAUUA